rnacentral:lncRNA from 1 species
ACCAAUGUGCAGAUCGUUGCUGGAAUCAAGAGCUUCCUGGCUCUCACACAUACUGACUAUGUGACCUUGAAUAAGUUGCCUUGGUUUUCACACAUGUAAAAUGGAGAUAAAUGAUAUAUAUUAUUAAAAUAUACCGUAUCAUUAUUUAUAUCAGGAUUAAACAAGAUAAUAUAAGUAAAUCACCUAGGACAAUGCCAACAACAGAAAAGGUGUUCAAUAAGUGGUAGGUGUUAUUAACAAUACCUAUUUUGUCAAACAUGAGAUCAUACUAACGUUCCAAAUUUGGUACUUGGUAUUUUGCUCAACAAAAUUCAAAACUCUUUGCUAUUAAAGAUCUAUACUGUUAUUUUUGACAUUUAUUUCUUUGUGUUGCAUUUUUAUUUUGAAAUACAAUGAUAAAAGUAAAUGUUAAAAAAUAACUAAUGAUCACAUGGUAGUUCUAUAUUUAGUUUUCUGAGUUACCUCCAUACUGUUUUCCAUAGUGGCUGUAACAAUUUACAGUCCCACCAACAGUGAAGGAGGGUACUCUUUUCUCCACACCCUGUCCAGCAUUUGUUAUUUGUUGACUUGUUAAUUACCAUCAUUCUGACUGGUGUGAGGUGGUACCUCAUUGUAGUUUUGAUAGCCUUUCUCUAAUAAUUAGUGAUACUGAGCAUUUUUCAUGUACCUGUUGCUCAUCCAUGUCUUCUUGGGAGAAAUGCCUAUUUAGGUUUAGGUUUUCUGCCCAUUUUUCAGUUGGGUUGUUGGUUUUUUUUUUGUGGUUGAAUUGUUUGUAUGUUAUGGAGAUUAGACCCUUGUCUGUGGCAUCAUUUGCAAAGAUUUGUUUCCCAUUCUAUAGCAAUCCCACUCCUGGGCAUAUGUCUGGACAAAACAUUCAUUCAAAAGAGUUACAUGCACCCCUAUGUUCAUCACAGCACUAUUCACAACAGCCAAGACAUGGAAACAAUCUAAAUGUCAUGAAUGGAUUAAGAAGAUGUGGUACAUAUAUACAAUGGAAUACUACUCAGCCAUAAAGAAGACAAACUAAUGCCAUUUGUAGCAACAUGGCUGGAACUAGAGAUUCUCAUGCUAAGCAAAGCCAUAAAGAAAAAAAAAAUGAAAAACAUCAUAUGAUAUCAAUUAUUUGUAGAAUAUAAAAUAUAGCACAAAUGAUCCUAUCUGCAAAAUAGAAACAUAUCAUGGCCACGGAGAGCAGAUAGUGGUUAGUGGUUCCCAGCAGGGAGGAGGGAGGGAAUGGGAUGGAUGGGGAGUUUGGGGUUUUGGAAUGCAAACUGUUACAUUUGGAAUGGAUGGGCAAUGGGACCCUACUAUUCAGCACAGGGAACUGUGUGUGAUUGGCUCACUUUGCCAUACAACAAAGUACAGCAAAGAAACACUGUAAAUCAACUAUCCUUUAAUAAAAAAUAAAAUAAUUAGUGAACAUCAUGUCUUACCACUAAUUUAGGAACUCCCUAAGCAUUCUAAUUUCCCUCUGAAUUAUCACCAUUCUCAUAUAUGAAUACAGGGACACUACAAAGUAAAAAGUCUGGGCCAAUGAUGUCUGUGGCAGCCCCUUGCUCUUAUGAGCUCCACAUCCUCAAAUCCAGAUGCACCAUCAGGAACCGGGACUUGGCAAGAGGCUUAAUGAGCUCCAAGGAACAACCUAAGCUAUAUACAGUAUUUCUCAACACAGUAUGAAUUUUAGGUGGUGUUUUUGUAAUUUUAUUAGAGUAAUUGGCUCUUUGGGGGUUUGUUGGUCUAUUUGCAGGACUGUUGUUUGUCAUUGUUGUUCUUUGUGUUGUUCAGGAGCAGGGAUUCGGCUUUUACUUGCUUUCAUAAUUGAGAAAUAAGAAACAAGAAAACAGUACAGAAAAUGUAAUUUCUGUUUACUCAUAGAAAACAGAACCUUAGAAACAACUUCAGGGGUAGAAUCAAUACAACACAAAGAGAAAGUAUUGAGUUUCUCAGUAUUUGACUAGAUUUUCCCUGGAGAAAAGUCUGAGGGCUAAUUAUCUGGGGACACAUAUACACAUACAUAUUCUUAGGGUUUCAGUGUAAUAGCAAUAAUAGCCCUUUGCACAAUGAUAGCACUGUGAUAUGUGAUGUAUUUCAUAGGCAAUCCAUUUGUUUCUGAAUACAUUUGCAUAAAGCACUCUGUAAAAAAAUAAACAAGCAUGAUGUAUAUGAAUCAAUUAAAGGAGCCUUUGAUGAUAUAUUCUUCCUGUCAGUUAACUGGUCCAUUUCACCUAUUAGAAGUCCCUGACAAGGACAAGUAGCACAGUCCCUGGUAUUUUAGGCAAUGAUAAAUACCUGUUGGACUGAUUUGGAGGUAAACUGCUAUAAAAUAAGGUAUAGAACUCUGUAUUUAGUUUAUUGGUUCCGUGGAGAAAAUAUCCUUCAGCAUAAAGCACAUGUAUUAAGGGCUUACUAAGCACCAGACAUUGUAAUAAAUGUUUUACAUGCUGACCUCACUUUUCCCCUCAGACACCUUUGAGGGAGAUAUUAGGAUGACUUGACUCUUACAAACAGGGAAACUGACACCUGUGGAGGUUACAUCAGCUACCAAGGGGCCACACAGCUAACAGGUGACAGAGUGAGACUGACAAGAAUGCCCUUUUCUUGACCACUUCUCUCCAUUGUGAUACCUGUCCUGGAGCCAUCUGUGGGCAGCUACACCAGGACCCAGGGCAGGCACCAGCAUCAAACCCUCUUGCAGCUCAGUAAUUAUUGAGCUACAACUGAUUUUUAAAAUAUGAAUAUAACAUAAUAAAAAUCAUUGACAUAUAUGGACAUUUGAUCCAUAAAGUAAAUAGCAAUUGAACUUAUUCCAAUUUUUGUACAAUUUCAGUUCUUUCAGAACAUUCUAUGUCAGGUGUCCAAGAUAAGGACUGAGUGAGAAGACACAGUAGAUGUCCUAUGUUUAGCCCUACUUACUGUGAUAGUGUCUGAAGGUAGCACUCAAGGUCAGAAUAAUGAUAUGAAACAAAGCAUUUUUACCAUACUACCGACAACUUUAUAUACAGUCUCAUUAUACCUUCACAACUGCUAGAAGUAAGUAUUUCUAUUCCUUUUCUACAGACCAAGAAAUUGAGAAACUCACAGGAGAAAGAUAAUUAUUCAGGCCAUCCAGCUGGUUUCAUAGGCUGGCUCCGUCUCUUCCUAUUUCUUUGACCUUGAGCAAAGCUGACCUUCUGCCCAUUAUAUUAUACUUCCUCUCAUGGUGCCAUUAUAUUCUACACACAGGCCAACCUCAGACAAAAGUGUGAUGUAGGCAGAUACCCUCGGUACCUCCCGUGAUCCCCUACCUGUUUGCUCCUUCCCCUCCUUUCAAUGCGCCCAUUUCUCCCACGUUCCCAAGAAUCUCAUCCUGUCCAGAUUCUUCCUAACAUGGAGAAAAAUGCCACUGCCUUCCCCAGGAUAAUUCACAUCAUAAUACAGGCCAGGCGUGAUGCUGGGCACAGAUGGACAAAUAUGAAUAGGGAGCUGACCCUUUCAAAGAACACACAGCACAGCUGGGAAAAGCAAAAGGGAUGCCAUUAUCCUAGGACAAAGAAUAGGUGGAGAAAGCCAUUUUCUGAAAUACAUGUAACAGCUUUAUAGUGAUAUACUUUGCAUGCCAUAUAAUUCACUCAUUUAAAGUGAAGAGUCCAGCGGUUUUUUAACAUAUUCACAGUGUUGUGCAGUCAUCAACACAAUCAAUUUUAGACCAUUUUAAACACCCCAGAGAGAAAUCCUGCACACACUAGCUUCUCCACAUACCUCCUACACCAGCCCUAAGCAACUACUAAGCUACCUUUUAUAUUUAUAGAUUUGUCUAUUCUGGACAUUUUAUAUAAAUGGAUAAUAUAACAUGUGGUCUUUUGUAAUUGGCUCUGUUCUAUUUCUUUUAUAUUCCUCACAAUAACUUUAGGAUGAGGGUAUACAUGUUUAUUCCUCCUUUACAGCAAAGGAAACAGACUUAGGAUAAGUAAAAUGUUCCCAAAUCAAGCAAUAUGUACUAUGUGAGCCAGGACUCAAACCCACAGGCAGAGUGUUUUAAAAGAAACAGAACAGAGCCUGGUACUUAGUAGGAACUCAAUAAAUUACAGCUAACAGAAGGAAUGCAUUAAUUAAUUAAUAGAAAUUAAUGAAGGAACACAUGAAUAAAAAGUACCUAGCACAGUAUCCUGCACUAGGUGUUCAGCAGUUAACUGUUCGUGCUCAAUACAUGCAAGCAGUAAAGAUGAAUGUGCAAAAAGGGCAAACAUUUCAUUGUUACCACCAUCCUGUGACCAGAACACAACAUAAGUGGUAGAUGUCUUCAUAUGUUCUGCCCUGUUGGCAGGUCGCUCCCUGAGGUCCUGUCAGACAGGAAGAAUUCAUGUCCACAGCCACUCAGCUCUUUCAGCUGAGGAAACAUGAUUUGUGAGCCACCAUGCUCAUCAUCCUCUUCCAUCAGGCCAUUUAUGGCCCUUACAAUUCCACUCUUGAUGAGAAUGCAUAAAAUGUUAUUGGCCCUGUGUGCUUACUGUAUAAUAUACGGAACUUACAAAAGACAUUAUUAAAUAUUGUUAAAUGAAGGGCUGAAUAGGUGCACUAAAACGACUGCAUGUUGAAAGGAUUUGUUAACCCCACUGAUGCCAUAGAAAGUAACUGCCACAUUUCCCCAAUUUCUCCUUGCACAAAAAUCAUUGUUAAAUGGUUGGGAGUUCCCAUCAUUGCUCAGUGGUUAACGAAUCCGACUAGGAACCAUGAGGUUGCGGGUUUGAUCCCUGGCCUUGCUGAGUGGGUUAAGGAUCCGGGGUUGCCAUGAGCUGUGGUGUAGGUCGCAGACUCGGCUUGGAUCUGGUGUUGCUGUGGCUGUGGUGUAGGCCAUCAGCUACAGCUCCAAUUGGACCCCUAGCCUGGGAACCUCCAUAUGCCACAG